AAAUUGAAACUCAUCUGGUGUGGGAUGUGCUAUGGCUGCUGCUUUGUUUCCUGGGGCCUCCCCUGACCUAGUAUCUGGCACAGAUUCUGAAUUCUGGGGCCUGGAACCUCAGUGUGCACUUGAACAAUGAAGCUGGUGACAAGCAUUACUGUACUCCUAUCUUUGGGUAUUACAGGUGAUGCUAAGACCACACAGCCAAAUUCAAUGGAAAGUAAUGAAGAAGAGCCUGUACACUUGCCUUGUAACCACUCCACAAUCAGUGGAGCUGAUUACAUAUACUGGUAUCGACAGCUUCCCUCCGCGGGUCCAGAGUAUGUGAUUCAUGGUACAACAAGCAAUGUGAACAACAGAAUGGCCUCUCUGACAAUCGCAGAAGACAAAAAGUCCAGUACCUUGAUCCUGCACCGUGCUACCUUGAGAGAUGCUGCUGUGUACUACUGCAUCUUGAGAGACCACAGUGGAACAGAUGGGGCUGCACCUGUGCAAUAUCUCCCUGAUUGUGGAAGAGAAGACAUCUAACAAGGCCACUGCACA